rnacentral:misc_RNA from 1 species
CCUUGCUGCACUUUCACACUCAGGUUAAAUGUUUAUGUUUGGAUUCUGUGGUUUGACUUUAUAUCUUUUAUCAUGAAUUCUUAUAUUUGUAGUUGUACCAAGUCAGAAAACUACAUUCAUUUGGCAUUCCUAAAUUGACAGAUAAGUGAGACUUGAAAAUGAAAGAUCUUCCUCAUUUUAUCACAUUUCUAGACUUAUAGUCUCUAAUUUCUUCACUGUUGCGACAAGCACAUCAACACAUGAUCCUUUAUUUGUUAAAACAUAGUUGAAGGUGAAAAUGAAGUGAGGAACUUGCUGUCGUUUUAGAUGUGGAUAUCUACAUUAUUAUGGCACUUGAUGAAUGUAACUUGAGAACUUAUAUUGGAAUACAAGUUUUCCAAUGCUCAAGUUUGAAUGUAUCAUAUUUGUUUAAUAGGAGGCCAUUUGUUCUCAUUAAAAGAUCUAAUCUAAAACUCAUUUUGCAAGACAAUUUUAAAGCAAUUAGCUGUAACAUUAUAUGUUUAUGUACUUAUUCACUUGGGGAGCAACUUCUAUAAGUAAAGAAUACAACCGAUGCCAAGAAGUUACCAUAAUUUAAUUUUUCACUUUGGUUGCUCAUUGUAAAUUCUGGAAUUGCAGAUGAGGCUGUGGGAGCAUUGCACCAUGCUGGGGCUUUUUCAGUAAUUAAGUCUACCCCAGAUUCGUUGGAGGAAUCGGAAAUAAAAAAUUACAAAUCAAGCCUGCUAAAGAGAUUCCAAGAUCUAAGAUAUGAUAGUUGAUAUUUUGUGGUUAAGGUAUAACCCUUACUAUUGUAGCUGGAAGUACAAUUAGAUCAAGAAGUCAUGUUAGCAUGUAAGGAUGAUCUCUAUCUCACAAAGAGAGAUUUUUGGCAAUUUUAAUAAAAACAAGUUCAAAUUUUGCUUUAUGCAAUUAGCUUCUUUCUCCUGAAAAAAAUAAAAAAAAAGAUCUCUUUUAUUUUUCCUUUCAUUCUUUCCCUAAUUUUUUUCCCAAAUGGAGGUGACUUACUCCGCAAAAAAGAACUGCUUAAUCACAAAAGAAAUGAAUCUCUAGAUGCAUAUCUUAGAACUUAGAAGAAUUGAAAAAAGGAUCAUCUGGCAACUGGUCGGCUAAGAGCACGAAAUCCUUUAGGGAAUGCAGCAUUAAUCUUAUUUUUUUUUUCUUUAACAUUCAUAUGCCUGAUCUGGUGCCAUAAAUUAUAAGGGAUUCUCAUAACAAGAACUCUCAGACUGGCAUGCAGAAGAUGCUUCUAUGUUCUAAAAUCUCAACAGUUUAGCACAUUAACUUUUUUUUCUUUUGGAGCAUUGAGCUUUCUUUUUCCAUUCAAAUGUUCAAUGACAUGGUUAAUGACCUUGAUGGUCUGCCAUUUAAAUAGUAGUAAACAUAUAUCGACCAAUUUCACUCCUUUUGUGUGGACUGUUGCUUAUGCUAGCCUAUGUGUGUCAUUUAUUAAUCAGGACUGGAGUUGGAGGGUAUAAGCAUCAGCUACUAUGUUUGAAUUCUAUUAGAAAAAAAAAAUGUACCUAGUUGCCCUAUUCAGACUAGCUACGCAUAAAAAAAAAACAUAUGGUUGUAGACUUGUAGUUGGAGGCACUUCCAUAUAUCUUCAAAUCUAUUGUAGCUUUCAAAAGAAACUAGUUUUAGUCAAACUUAGAGUCCUUGUGUGAGCUUCAAUUUUUCAGGAUAGGUCUCUCUCUCUCUCUCUCUCU